AUGCGGCAACUCCAUCAUGGUCAGCCCCUGCCGUGGCUACUGAUUGGCGAUCUUAAUGAAAUUCAGUUUCUGCAUGAGAAGGAAGGGGGUAACCCGCGACCAGCGCAAUAUAUGGAAGCUUUUCAAGAUGCAAUCGACGAUUGUGAAUUGCAUGAUAUGGGGUUCCUUGGAGACCCUUUUACUUGGCGUCAUGGGAGGAUACGGGAAAGGCUAGACAAGGGACUAGUGAAUGAUGCAUGGGCGAAUUUGUUUGCACAUGCGGCCCUACAGAACUUGGAGUUCAACCACUCGGAUCACAGACCACUUUUGGUGGACACGGAGUAUUACUUGCUACCGGCAAAUAACUCAAACAAUCAUGUGAAGAGGUUUGAGGCGCGGUGGUUGAGAAAACAGAGUUUCAACGAGACAGUUUAA
rnacentral:rRNA from 1 species